AUUGAACGCUGGCGGAAUGCUUUACACAUGCAAGUCGAACGGUAGAGGGGCAACCCUUGAGAGUGGCGAACGGGUGAGUAAUACAUCGGAACGUGCCCAGUCGUGGGGGAUAACGUAGCGAAAGCUACGCUAAUACCGCAUACGACCUGAGGGUGAAAGCGGGGGAUCGCAAGACCUCGCGCGAUUGGAGCGGCCGAUGGCAGAUUAGGUAGUUGGUGGGGUAAAGGCCUACCAAGCCUGCGAUCUGUAGCUGGUCUGAGAGGACGACCAGCCACACUGGGACUGAGACACGGCCCAGACUCCUACGGGAGGCAGCAGUGGGGAAUUUUGGACAAUGGGGGGCAACCCUGAUCCAGCCAUGCCGCGUGCGGGAAGAAGGCCUCGG
rnacentral:rRNA from 1 species